AAGUUUAGUGGCGGACGGGUGAGUAGCGACGUGGGUAACCUGCCGUAUGGCAGGGGGAUAACAGUUAGAAAUGACUGCUAAUACCGCAUAAGACCACAGUCUCGCAUGAGACAGGGGUAAAAACUACCGGUGGCAUACGAUGGACCCGCGUCUGAUUAGGCAGUUGGUGAGGUAACGGCCCACCAAACCUACGAUCAGUAGCCGGCCUGAGAGGGUGAACGGCCACAUUGGGACUGAGACACGGCCCAAACUCCUACGGGAGGCAGGCAGUGGGGAAUAUUGCACAAUGGGCGAAAGCCUGAUGCCAGCGACGCCGCGUGAGUGAAGAAGUAUUUCGGUAUGUAAAGCUCUAUCAGCAGGGAAGAAAACGACGGUACCUGACUAAGAAGCACCGGCUAAAUACGUGCCAGCCGCAGC
rnacentral:rRNA from 1 species